AGGCCUACAGCCCAAAAGCAGCAGCAUUUAAGAGGGAGGGUGCUAGGCAGUUAUGAUGUUUUUUCAGCUGGAUGUUGGCAUCUGGAACAUUCCGGAAGCAGUGUGGGGAGCAGCAUUCAGCUGCCAUGGACACAUGCUGGUGUGAACUACACCUUCGAACACCUGGGUGUGGCCUCAGAAACCCCCCUAGAAGUGUCCCCUCUAUGAAGCGGUGUAUAAAUGUGCAGCCUGGAAGACAAAAGCACCCCCCAGAUUUCAUCCAGACAACAUCCCUCCAAAACAGUGGUUCUCAACCUUCUGGCCCUUUCAAUACAGUUCCUCAUGU